GAUGAACGCUGGCGGCGUGCCUAAUACAUGCAAGUCGAGCGAACAGAUGAGGAGCUUGCUCCUCUUACGUUAGCGGCGGACGUGUGAGUAACACGUGGAUAACCUACCUAUAAGACUGGGAUAACUUCGGGAAACCGGAGCUAAUACCGGAUAAUAUAUUGAACCGCAUGGUUCAAUAGUGAAAGACGGGUUUUCUGUCACUUAUAGAUGGAUCCGCGCCGCAUUAGCUAGUUGGUAAGGUAACGGCUUACCAAGGCAACGAUGCGUAGCCGACCUGAGAGGGUGAUCGGCCACACUGGAACUGAGACACGGUCCAGACUCCUACGGGAGGCAGCAGUAGGGAAUCUUCCGCAAUGGGCGAAAGCCUGACGGAGCAACGCCGCGUGAGUGAUGAAGGUCUUCGGAUCGUAAAACUCUGUUAUUAGGGAAGAACAAAUGUGUAAGUAACUAUGCACGUCUUGACGGUACCUAAUCAGAAAGCCACGGCUAACUACGUG
rnacentral:rRNA from 1 species